rnacentral:rRNA from 1 species
UACGUAGGGUGCAAGCGUUAAUCGGAAUUACUGGGCGUAAAGCGUGCGCAGGCGGUUUUGUAAGUCUGAUGUGAAAUCCCCGGGCUCAACCUGGGAAUUGCAUUGGAGACUGCAAGGCUAGAAUCUGGCAGAGGGGGGUAGAAUUCCACGUAUAGCAGUGAAAUGCGUAGAGAUGUGGAGGAACACCGAUGGCGAAGGCAGCCCCCUGGGUCAAGAUUGACGCUCAUGCACGAAAGCGUGGGGAGCAAACAGG